rnacentral:rRNA from 1 species
GAUGAACGCUGGCGGCGUGCCUAAUACAUGCAAGUCGAGCGAACAGACGAGGAGCUUGCUCCUCUGACGUUAGCGGCGGACGGGUGAGUAACACGUGGAUAACCUACCUAUAAGACUGGGAUAACUUCGGGAAACCGGAGCUAAUACCGGAUAAUAUAUUGAACCGCAUGGGUCAAUAGUGAAAGACGGUUUUGCUGUCACUUAUAGAUGGAUCCGCGCCGCAUUAGCUAGUUGGUAAGGUAACGGCUUACCAAGGCAACGAUGCGUAGCCGACCUGAGAGGGUGAUCGGCCACCUUGGAACUGAGACACGGUCCAGACUCCUACGGGAGGCAGCAGUAGGGAAUCUUCCGCAAUGGGCGAAAGCCUGACGGAGCAACGCCGCGUGAGUGAUGAAGGUCUUCGGAUCGUAAAACUCUGUUAUUAGGGAAGAACAAAUGUGUAAGUAACUAUGCACGUCUUGACGGUACCUAAUCAGAAAGCCACGGCUAACUACGUG